GUUUGGUUAAGUUAGAAAGGGCGCACGGUGGAUGCCUUGACACUAGGAGUCGAUGAAGGACGGGACUAACGCCGAUAUGCUUCGGGGAGCUGUAAGUAAGCUUUGAUCCGAAGAUUUCCGAAUGGGGAAACCCACCAUACGUAAUGGUAUGGUAUCCUUACCUGAAUACAUAGGGUAAGGAAGACAGACCCAGGGAACUGAAACAUCUAAGUACCUGGAGGAAGAGAAAGCAAAUGCGAUUUCCUGAGUAGCGGCGAGCGAAACGGAACAUAGCCCAAACCAAGAGGCUUGCCUCUUGGGGUUGUAGGACAUUCUAUACGGAGUUACAAAGGAA
rnacentral:rRNA from 1 species